GGCCUUUGCAACCCAGGCCAUUCUGUGAUUCUGUGAUUCUCUGAACUACAAAAAGUACUGAAUGUAUACUGGUUGAUAUGAGGUGAGGUGAGCUGUGAUGAGGUUGGGAGCACAACUCAGAACAGGAGAGAACCAUGUCACAAGUGCUGGUGUUCCAAACAGUCUGUGAUGGAAUAUCCAGAGCUGGGAGGGACGAGUAGGGCAUAGGAGGGACCACUGUGGGCUCCACACUCAGCAGCCCGAGUUUGGCACUGUGGGGGCUCCCAGUGUUCUCCUUUUUUUCUCCCUCCUGAAGGCUAUCAGAACUAGAAUGAAUUGGAAGUUUCGUGUGGAAGCUUUUUUUCUUCUUUUGUGAAAUGGAAUACAUUAGAAUUCAUUGCAGCUCCAUGCUUCAGAAGAAAGCUGGUUGUUUAGCUGUAGAAUCAGAAGAUCAUCUUCACGAUCUUCGGUUAUUUUCACACGUGCCAUUCUGCCAGGCGACAUGAUGUGAUAGAGACAGCAAGAUCCUAAGAAGAAAAGUACCAAGUGUGAGAAGCUCUGCCUUUAGCUUUACAAACAGCUGGACUGCAGGGUUGUGCGACCGGCUGGCUUCCUGCAGCUGCUGCUGGGCCCUGGACCAGCACCACAUCCUUGAACUGAAGGAAAAAGAAAAUACAUUCUUACUAAUGAUAACAGCUGGGAUCAAAGCCAAACAAGGGGCCGUAAUAGUAACAAGUACGCUGCUUCUGUUGGGCAGAAGUAAAUUACUGAUAUACUUAAGUUUUAGAGAUUUGGGAGGUUGAUUUUUUUUUAUAGUGAAUGAAUAAAGAUGAAAGGUUUUGAGA